rnacentral:rRNA from 1 species
CCUACGGGUGGCUGCAGUGGGGAAUAUUGCACAAUGGGCGAAAGCCUGAUGCAGCAACGCCGCGUGAAGGAAGAAGGUUUUCUGCUCGUAAACUUCUAUCAACAGGGACGAAAGACAUGACGGUCCCUGAAUAAUAAGCCCCGGCUAACUACGUGCCCGCAGCCGCGGUAAUACGUAGGGGGCAAGCGUUAUCCGGAAUUACUGGGUGUAAAGGGUGAGUAGGCGGCAUGGUAAGCCAGAUGUGAAAGCCUUGGGCUUAAACCGAGGAUUGCAUUUGAAACUAUCAAGCUAGAGUACAGGAGAGGAAAGCGGAAUUCCUAGUGUAGCGGUGAAAUGCGUAGAGAUUAGGAAGAACACCAGUGGCGAAGGCGGCUUGCUGGACUGAAACUGACGCUGAGGCACGAAAGCGUGGGGAGCGAACAGGAUUAGAUACCCUUGUAGUC